AUUACACACCUGAAAGGCCACCAAGCACCCGUCAUCUUCACAAGUCAAAAGAAAAGAAAAAACUGAAAAAAAAGAAAGGAGGGCCCAAAGGAGAGUCUUGAGAGUUUUUUUACUAUAGGAAACCAGCACAUUCAGCUGCGAGGAAGCUGAGAAACACAGAGGAGCAAAGAGGAGGAGGGACCGCCAUUCCAACAGCAGCCCCAGUCCGCCCUCCCUUUCCCAGCCUCCUCUGCCGACGUGUCCCCCUCCUCCCCUUCCUCCCCGGCUGCCUGCCCCCUUCUCUUGUAUCGCAAGAAGCAGCCCACGCCACCAUCUUAGGAGAAGGCUGGCAUGAAAUGGAAGUGCGAACCCGAGCAGGUUCAAUCUGCCAUUACCACACUUCCUUGCAUAUUGCAGGAGGAAAGAGAAACAGCGUGAUGUCAGCUUGACCUUGGCUGAGCUCUUACCAUGAUGUGCACCCACCUCCAGUCUCCAUCAUGGCACAGUGUUAAUUGCCUGUGCUUGGAACCAGACUUCAGACAUUCCAGUUUAAUUUGGUUUGUGCCCCAACAUUUGAAUAUUGAAGCACUUCAUCAGCUCUGCUGAGAUCCUGGGAACACAGGAUUGACUGGAACAUUGUCUUUGAUCACAUGACCUGUGACAGGAGGAACUGGGGAUCGCUGCCACUCCCCUGGAACUGGAUGCCUGGAUUCCAUGAUUUAAUUUUUGGACAGAGACACAUUAGAAUGGACGCUUGGAAAUACCUGACUAUGAUCAAAAUAAUUUCAGUUUGUUCUCCAAAUCUUGCAGAAUAUGGGCUACUUGAUCCUGAUCCUGGAGGGCCACAACUCAGAAUUUCCCAGCCCUGUAUACACCACUCAGUCAGGAGGCCAAUGCUUUGGUCAGUGAAAACUAACAGCUAUGGUGGCCUUCCAGGACCAAGACUGAAUACUCUGAGAGGACACACUUGGACAGCUCUCAAUCUUGAUCCUCUAUAGAAAUGAUUGUGUUCUACAGCAAUGCAUCACCCUCCAUCUGUUGACUAUUUGUCAAUAAAUGCACUCAAAGUAGGGAACUGCUUGACCAGAGAGAAAACUUUCAUAUUUCAAUAUUUUCAUGGGUUUGGAAUUGACAAUGUAUGUUUUUG